rnacentral:rRNA from 1 species
AUUGAACGCUGGCGGCAGGCCUAACACAUGCAAGUCGAGCGAGCGGCGGACGGGUGAGUAAUGUAUGGGGACUGCCCGAUAGAGGGGGAUAACUACUGGAAACGGUGGCUAAUACCGCAUACUAUCGGAUAACCCAGGUGGGAUUAGCUAGUAGGUGGGGUAAAGGCUCACCAAGGCGACGAUCUGUAGCUGGUCUGAGAGGAUGAUCAGCCACACGGGGACUGCGACACGGCCCAGACUCCUACGGAGGCAGCAGUGGGGAAUAUUGCACAAUGGGCGCAAGCCUGAUGCAGCCAUGCCGCGUGUAUGAAGAAGGUCUUAGGGUUGUAAAGUACUUUAAGUUGGGAGGCGUUACCCGCAGAAGAAGCACCGGCUAACGCCGUGCCAGCAGCCGCGGUAAUUC